rnacentral:rRNA from 1 species
CGUGAGAUGUUGGGUAAGUCCCGCAACGAGCGCAACCCUUGAUCUUAGUUGCCAUCAUUUAGUUUGGGCACUCAAGGUGACUGCCGGUGACAAACCGGAGGAAGGUGGGGAUGACGUCAAAUCAUCAUGCCCCUUAUGACCUGGGCUACACACGUGCUACAAAUGGACGGUACAAAGAGCUGCAAGACCGCGAGGUGGAGCUAAUCUCAUAAAACCGUUCUCAGUUCGGAUUGUAGGCUGCAACUCGCCUACAUGAAGCUGGAAUCGCUAGUAAAUCGCGGAUCAGCAUGCCGCGGUGAAUACGUUCCCGGGCCUUGUACACACCGCCCGUCACACCACGAGAGUUUGUAACACCCGAAGUCGGUGGGGUAACCUUUU